UCUGGGAGAAGCUCAGCUUCCAAACUGUGCAUGAAAAUUUCUGUGGGAAAUUUACCUUUGUGCGUACGCAGACAGGCCUUGUGUGUUUCCUCCUUACAGAAUGAUUCAGCGAGCCUUUAGUAGAUGGAUUAAGCCAGUAGAGUCUUUCAUACGACUCCUUACUUAUGUUCAUUCUUUUAUGUACCUGGUUAGUGAUGUCAUGUUUGUGUUGUCUGAGAGAAACAGUGGUCCUACACAUAAAGCAGAGUUAGCCAGGGUCCUUAAUAGGGCUGCUUUACAGUUACAGGUAUGACUAUAGGGACCAGUUUACUGUUGGUACACAGAGAGUCGUAUUUACCAUCUUCUUCUUUACUGUAGGAGCAUUAUAAACUGCAGCUCAAUGGAGAGCCAACUGUUCAGGACCUGUUUGUUUUGGCGGUCACAUUCCGAGAGUGCAACAGGCGGCAUUCUCUGAACGUCCAGUGUUGGUGAACAUACCCAGGGUACACGGAAGUACUUCAGGCCAGUUCUCAGUAAGGAGACCCCGUGCCUACAACAGACCGCAAGUCCAGGGGGCGGCUGCUCGAGUUUCAGGAAGACAGCGUCCACCCGGAAGGCGCUUCCACCUCUACAGCGCUGGAUCUGCCAAGGUGAACAAGGUUCUUCUAUCUCCAGGAUUAAGGUCUCACCUAGGCAGGCAGUCGAGAAGGGCGCAUUGCCCCCCGGUCCAGAGUGGGAUGGGGUGCGGCCUACACCAGAUGCCCAUGUUUGGUUUGUUGGAAGCAGCCAGGCUGGACACAGCCCUCCCAAGGACGUCCAACAGUGGCAGGGUGUGCAGUGGGUGAAUCAAACGCCCACAUCAACCCGGGACGUUUUUGGCUCGUCCCCCACCCACCCCUGGGUAUCAGGUAUGCCCAUUACCUUUACAGGUUAUCGAGCUAUGCUUCCGGAUACAUUUAAGUACUUGGCCUCUGACUUGUUGGCCAACUUUUCGUUGGCCCGCCCAGGAAGUCAUACCCUCUUCCCUUCUGGAGGGGUUAGACCUUUUGAACUCGGCAGUCUCUGAGCCUUAUCUAGGGUAUCUUUCAUACUCUUAGCGUGGAAAAUCUGUGUUUUAGUGGCAAUAGCUUCUGCUGCGUGAGUUUCAGAGAUCCAUGCGCUCUCUUCCGACCUGUCCUGUUUGCAGUUCGGAGAGAUUUUCCUAAUAAGACACCCAGGGUUUCUUGCAAAGUAUAGGCUUCUGGCCCUCAGGCCUCGGGAAGUUACUCUUCUUCCUUUUUCGAGGAAAGGUCCCAAGGACAGGAUUAAGCUGCAGGACCCAGUCUGGCUUCUAAAGAUUUAUCUAAAGAGAUCGGCGCCACACAGAAAGGGUCGUUGAAGGCUGUUUUUUUUAAAUUUUUUACAGGAAGGAUAGUCAAAUAUCUCAGCACAAAUAGUUGCGGCCUGGAUUUAAGCUGUCUUCAAAGCCGCAUAUGUUGCACACCACUCUGACUACUUGGAUGCAAACAGAAGCAUUUCGACUCAGCAAGUGACAGGCAGGAAAGUGCAUUAGUGCACUCAGAGCGGCCUCAGCCUACAGCCCGGGUGGAUUUAGGGACCCAAGCUGUAUUCCAUGGACUCCAUGUGGCAAGACUGGCAGCUGGGCCUUGCUAAAGAAAAGCUGGUACUUGUGGAUUCUGACCUGAAUGAAGACUAAGAGACAAUUGGUGUAAACUCAAGACAGAAGCAUACUGAUGAUAGUAAAGGUGCUGACCUGCAUGCUGCUUCUUCUUGCGCUUGACAGCCAUAG